rnacentral:sRNA from 1 species
ACUCAACACUAACAAUUUAGAAUGAGCAAAUCAUCGUUACUAUAACAAGCCAAUUCAGUUUGGAAGUUUGAACAACGAGUUAGCUCAAAACUUGUCUUUUCGAGUUU